CUAGUCACCCCUUCCCUCACUCUGUCACUUGUCACCCCCUCACUCUGUCACUAGUCACCCCCUCACUCUAGUGACAGAGAGAGGGAGGGGGUGACUAGUGACAGAGUGAGGGAGGGAGGGGGUGACUAGUGACAGAGUGAGGGAGGGAAGGGGUGCCUAGUGACAGAGUGAGGGAGGUGGUGAUUAGUGACAGAGGGAGGGAUGGGGUGACUAGUGACAGUCACCACCUCCUUCACUCUGUCACUGUGUCACCCUCUCCCUCACUCUGUCACUGUGUCACCCCCUUCCUCACUCUGUCACUAGUCACCCCUUCCUUCCCUCACUCUGUCACCUGUCAACCCCUCACUCUGUCACUAGUCACCCCCUCACUCUAGUGA